rnacentral:rRNA from 1 species
AUGAACGCUGGCGGCGUGCCUCAUACAUGCAAGUCGAGCGAACAGACGAGGAGCUUGCUCCUCUGACGUUAGCGGCGGACGGGUGAGUAACACGUGGAUAACCUACCUAUAAGACUGGGAUAACUUCGGGAAACCGGAGCUAAUACCGGAUAAUAUAUUGAACCGCAUGGUUCAAUAGUGAAAGACGGUUUUGCUGUCACUUAUAGAUGGAUCCGCGCCGCAUUAGCUAGUUGGUAAGGUAACGGCUUACCAAGGCAACGAUGCGUAGCCGACCUAAGAGGGUGAUCGGCCACACUGGAACUGAGACACGGUCCAGACUCCUACGGGAGGCAGCAGUAGGGAAUCUUCCGCAAUGGGCGAAAGCCUGACGGAGCAACGCCGCGUGAGUGAUGAAGGUCUUCGGAUCGUAAAACUCUGUUAUUAGGGAAGAACAAAUGUGUAAGUAACUAUGCACGUCUUGACGGUACCUAAUCAGAAAGCCACGGCUAACUACGUG